UGGCACAGAGGUGGGGACUUCUCUGUUAGAAGUCCUGCCUCUCACCUAAAUAUUGCUCUCCGAUUGGCUCUUUGGUUUCGCUAUCCUA